UCUAAUUAAUCUCAUCACCUAUAAAUGGAUGUACCUAGUAUAGUAGAAAAUACAUAGCAGUGAUCCAACUAAGGUGAGAAAUUCUUUUCUUAUAGUGUGAAAAUGGCACAAGCACAACCAUCAUCAAUCAAAAUCGAGAAACCAUCAUCAGGGCCUGUCAAGAAAGUAGAGCAUGUAGCCAAAGCCAGUGCCACCGCUCCCAAAGCUCCGGUCUCCAUUAAGCCACCUCCAAAGAAAGUUAAUGAAAAGUCUCAAAAUAAGAAGAAUAAUUCUAAGGGGCAACAAGCAGGAAAUAAAGGAGGACAAAAUAAGUGAUAAUGAAUGAGAGAAAUGUAUAUGAUGAGUUUAUAUAAAGAAUAUAAUAGUAGCAAGCUACUUGGUUGUUAUUAUGUGAAGAGUCCAUUAAUAAGGUCAUAGGGAUACUAUGAUAUAUGGUGCUCUUCCAUGAAGUUUAUCUGUAUGUAGUUCUAUGUAUACUAUGACACCAACUUCAGUUUGCUUUAUAUCCAUGUAUGUUUAUGUUCCUGCAGGCGUGGCCUAAUAAAUAAAAGAUACUUAUUUUAUA